GCACUGUUGAAGAGUCCCAAACAGGACGAAACAGCUGAUCCAGUGC
rnacentral:hammerhead_ribozyme from 1 species